CACACCCAGAGUUGUAAAGCAUAGCCCCAAUAGCUAACUUCUCUGAUUGGUUCCAUGCCAUGAUGUGGGCAUCUGACCUCCUAGUGACCAAAGCAAGGUCAGGCAAGCACGUGUUAGCCUGUCAUGGUUGCCAAAAUGGGGGGGUCCCUUUGAUGCCUUUAAUCCCUGCACUAGGGAGAUGGAGACAGGAGGAUAUGGCUGGAUGGAAAAAAGAAUAUAAGGAGGAGGAGACAGGAAUUAAGAAACUUUUGCCUCUGAAGAUUCGUGGAGACAGGGUUGCCAUUUCAGCUGGGUAGAGGUGCUGGGAUUCUACUCAGGUCCUUACACUUGCACAGCAAGCACUCUACCGACAGAACCCUUAUUCUCUCCAGGAGGUUUAAAAUGAACCAACUUACGGCAACUCAGAACUUUCUGCUUGCUGUGGGAUCCAGGACUAUCCUCUGAGUUCAGAGAUGGUGACUCCAGGAAUAUCAUCUAUUAAGCGGUGAAUUAUCAAUACGUAACCAGACUAAGUUAAAUCAUCAUGUGGCCUCCAGAUAAAUGAAGAGAGACAAGAGCCAAAGUCCAGCUCCAGCUGGCAUCCAGAAAAGGACUCUGACACAGGAAGAGCUUUGUCUAAGCCCCUUAGACCCAGGCCAAGAGAAAAUUUAUAGCUGUGCUCUGUGGUGGCAAGUCACCUCUGUUCACUUCCAUGUGCCU
rnacentral:lncRNA from 1 species